rnacentral:rRNA from 1 species
AAACUUUCAACAACGGAUCUCUUGGUUCUGGCAUCGAUGAAGAACGCAGCGAAAUGCGAUAAGUAAUGUGAAUUGCAGAAUUCAGUGAAUCAUCGAAUCUUUGAACGCACAUUGCGCCCGCCAGCACUCUGGCGGGCAUGCCUGCCCGAGCGUCAUC